CAGCAGCCACGGUAAUACGUAGGUGGCAAGCGUUGUCCGGAAUUAUUGGGCGUAAAGGGCUCGCAGGCGGUUUCUUAAGUCUGAUGUGAAAGCCCCCGGCUCAACCGGGGAGGGUCAUUGGAAACUGGGAAACUUGAGUGCAGAAGAGGAGAGUGGAAUUCCACGUGCAGCGGUGAAAUGCGUAGAGAUGUGGAGGAACACCAGUGGCGAAGGCGACGCUCUGGUCUGUAACUGACGCUGAGGAGCGAAAGCGUGGGGAGCGAACAGGAUUAGAUACCCCAGUAGUCCCUGUCUCUUAUAC
rnacentral:rRNA from 1 species